GGGUAUGCGCCAGAGUUGGAGAGCUGGGGAGGUCUGUAAAACCUCUGCCUUUGGGCUGAGUAGGUUCGAAUCCUACCAUACCCA
rnacentral:tRNA from 1 species